AAUAGCUCAGCAUCUCCACAGCUUAUCGUUAACGUUCCACUUGGGGAUACGUGGGUACAGCAUACGUUCUCGAUAAAAGGAACAACAUCGACGGUGCCGGGCGGACGCGACGACACGGUCGUUCCACGGUGUUCAGAAGGAUGCUGCGACAUUAUCCCUUCCGUGUGUACCGCGACGACGAGUGCGAGCCUCGGAAGUCGUCGCUACGCACGCACGCACACGCGCGCGCUCAUCCACGGCCGGGCGCGCAACGCGCAACACCGGUUCAACCGGAAUCAAAGCACCUCGAAGUCGGUGCGGCGCAACGCGACGUGGAGCUGUUCGCUCGAUCCACGCGGGUUCUCUCACGGGCACGUACACGCACCCGCGGGAACACGCGCGGAAAGUCCAGUUCGAAGUCCGGCCAGUCGGUGGGCGCUUUGAUGUGGCCGCCGCUCUGCUGCCUUCACUAUCCCGAAUACCUUUAUAUACGUCCCGUGCACCGCGCUUUUUCUCUCUUCUCACUCUCAUCUCUUCUGCUUCCUUCUCCCGCUAACGUAUCGUUCGAUCGUCGCCUCCUUGCGGUCAUCUCUUUCUUUCAGCAUGCUCUUGCGUUCUUGUACAUACGCACGUACGUAUAUACAUAUUUGUGCUGAUUUUAUUCUAUGAUUUAUCUUAGGGGUGGGAUGCAGUUCCCACAUCGAGUCAGCGUUGGUUCAAGAGGGUGGUGAUUCGCCAAUGGUCUCCCUCCUGCGUGCGACACGAGAGAUCUCGUGAUCCUUGCGGAAACAGUCGGGCGGGUAGCCAGGGAAAUUCCCGAAAUGCAAUUGCAUGGAGCUGACGGCGUUGCACGUCGAUCAAAGGAGCACAGCGGAGUGACGAAAGGCAAAAUCCUACGCGAUGAGCGACGUGACCGGAAUGUGGGACGCAGAAAAAGUCGGGUCUCGUCCCUUGCCCACUGCUGGAGUGUAUCUGCGAGAGUACACCGCAGAGCCCGCGUUCCUGCAGGAUCAGGAAAGAGGAGGGAUCUCCUUCCUGUGCAGCACCUGUAGCGCAUAGCCGUGCGUCCAUCUGUCCGUUCUGUGGCAUCGGUGGGAAGGCAAGGGCUGGCCAGCUUCUUGCGGCGCAAUCAAUCGAGCCGCCACCGUUGCCAUCCUGUCCUUCGAUCUUCACUCGGCUUCAAUGCUGUUUUCCCACCAAUGAUACACAUUAUACGCGUGUAUAUGGAGAUUAUCUAUGUAUUUGUUCUUCCCUCCUUCAGUAUAGUGUGAUGUUUAUUCAUAUAUUGUUUAUUUAAACAGGAGGCAUAAAUUGCAUUCUGUUUUGGAAAAAUGAACUUUGAUGACCAGAUGAUCAUUAUAUGUUAUUCGAUAAGUUGUUGAAAUAUAAGAAUAUAGAUAAUGUAAGAAAAAAGUAAGCCUUAUGAAUAAAAUAUUGA